rnacentral:tRNA from 1 species
AGCUUAGGACUAGGGUUAAUGGAAAUUUUGAAAAUUUCUGUAAGUAUUUCGAAAAUACUAUGAGCUU